CCCAAUAAUAGAACCACAUCCCUCAUGGUGAUGUCCUAGGGGAUUCUCAGCCCCAUGGGUUUUGUCAUUAAAAAAGUUCUCUAGAUCACCUUUUGCACUGAGAGGAAUGACAGUCUGUGGGAAUGCACAGUUCACCAUGGCUUGCAGGGGGAAAAACAUCUUGAAAUUUAGAAGACAUUACAAAACGCUUAGAGGAUGCAUCCUAGGUGAGAAAAAAUGAGUGGAUCAAGGUGCUGUGAGAAAGAAGCAUGUGAAAGGAAAAGAAAGGGAAAAGCUGCUGAGGGGAUCCAUACUGCAGCUCAGGACCCCUGUUCUGCUCAUGCUGGGACUGUCACACAGUGCACCACAUUUCUGAAAGGAAACAGAAGGCUUUCUUUUAUAAACGUCCAUAACUGACAUAGCUCUGCUACUCAGAGUGACUAUGGAACUCAGAGAUGUUCUUCUGCCUCUAGGUACUUAUGACAGGUCACAUCAAUAAGUUUUUACACAGAUGUGGUGAGUGCAGAAGCAGCCUCCUCCCACCAGCUGUUUUUGGAAAGUGAUAAAGCAUCAUUAGAAAAGAGAAGAAAAGGGAGAUAAAAUUCAGUGUUGAUGUUGCCUUGACUGAUCUGCAACUCUGGUACAGGACCUCCUGUUUUAUGUUCCUAGUCUUGAAACACCAAGCUGUGACAUGCAGUCAACACAUCCAAAGCAUGGGUUGCCAUUCAGAGAGACCUACACAAGUUUGAGCAGUGGGCCCAGGAGAACCUCUUGACGUUCAACAAAUCCAAGUGCAAAGUCAUGCACCUGGAUCAAGACAACUCCCAUUACCAGUAUAAGCUGGGGUAUGAAAGGACUGAGCACAGCCCCAACAAAAAAGGAUUUGGGAGUACUGGUGGAUUGCAAGCUGGACAUCAGUCUGCAGUGUGCUCUCACAGCUCAGAAAUUCAAUCAUACUCCGGUCUGCAUCAAAAGAAGCAUGGUCAGCAGCGUAAGGGAGGUGAUCCUGUUCCUCUGUGCUGGUAAGACCUCACCUGAAGUACUGAAUCCAGAUGUGGAGUCCUCAGUACAGGAGAGACAUGGACCUGUUGAAGUGUGUCAAGGGGAGGGCCACAGAGAUGAUCCAUGGGAUGGAACACUUACCCUACUGGGACAGACUAAGAUACCUGAGGCUGUUCAGCCUGGAGGAGAGAAGGCUCUAGGGAGUUAUUUUAAAAUGCCAAUGUAUAGUCUUGCAAAAAAGCACAAUCUUGACUGAAAGUAUUAAAAAAUGUUGCAUAUGGUCAUUAACCAAAAAUCUCUGUGUGUGAAAUAGAUCUUUCCUUUAGCAAAAUUCUAAAUCAUUUAACAAAUUAUUUAAAAAUAGGCAGAAGCACAUCCAACAAUAAAAGACAAACAUCACCAAAGAAAUCCAUUAAAAACAGAAUUAUUAAUAGAUGUUUUUUACAGUAUUUAUUUUGUAUAAAGGGGAUUUGUCUGUACAUUUAGUAUCACUUUAUGUAACAAUUUGAGAAAACUAUCUAUCAAUCCACAGCUUCAAACAGCUUUUUCUGUUGCUUAUAUACACAAGCACUUGUUCUGCAGCAGUAUGAAGCUCUGAAAAGAAGUGUUGCAUGACCAGAAUACAUUUGAAGGAAGCUAGACUUUGCUUUGAACCAGAUAAAUUGGUGGGUAAGAGAUAAACAUCUCAAGCGUGGCUGUAGUAGAGGUAAUUUUUUUUAUGUUAUGUUUUGUCUACAGUAUAAUUCUACAAGUAAAGAAAUGCCUGUCUAGAAAAGCUGAGAUCUCUGCAUUAAAAUACUUUGUAGAGCACAAGCAUAUCUUACAUACAGACAAACCAAAGUAUUAUGCUUUUAAAUGUACAAAUUUACAUACCUUGGUCUUGGCUCUCACACUUUUCAAAUCACCAGCAUUUUAAGUGCAGAUGCAUCAGGCUGAAAUGUAUAUGAUUUUUAAAUGCUACAUUUUGAAGGUUAAAACAAUAAAUAUAUCUAUUUUAUAUGAAGGAAAAAUAGAAAUAAGAUCCCUGAGUAAGUGCAGUAUCUGUCAAUUUCUGACCAAAGAUCCAGCUCCUUAAAAGGAAAAUAACACUAUUCCUUUUAAAUAUAAUUAUUUUAAAAGAUACUGUUAAAUGUAAGAAGUAACGCUCAAUUAUUAUUAAGCAACAUCUAAAAGGAUUUACUUACUAACAAUAAAAGAUGAAGUUUUCUUUCUGGUUAAUGUUCAAGAUAACGGCAAUAAUUUAAAUACGUAAUUUAUAUAUAUAUAUUAUUUAUAUAUAAUAUAAUAAAUGUAUUGUAAUGUACCUAAAUACGAACUUUACAGAAUGGGCUGUUUAACAUGUGUGUAAUAAUCCUUUUGGAAAUAAAGUACUGCAUGGUAUUCAAUAAAUACCUAUUUGUUUCUUUGUUUAAAUAAUAUAAUCAGCUAUUUAUUUCAGUGUUAAACUUACAUUUGAGUAAUAUUAAUUACACAGUGUAAUUACCUUGCCUGUGAUCAUGAUUUGGGGACAGAGUGUAUUGCCUGUGAUGCUGGCUAACAAUGAUAUGAUGUUUCUUACAUGGUCCAUCACUCUGCAUCCAUUUGUUUGCUUUACAUUUGCCCUGUAGAACUUCCAGUACCAAAAGUGCAUAGAAUAGUAAUGGAUGUCUAGCAUUCUAUCACUCAGAGAAUGUAGUUCAAAUAUACUGCUUUAAGUGAAAAGUUAUCUGUAAUCAGUAGCUGAAUGUAAAGAGCAGUUAGUGCUCAGUAGUUAUGGUAGAAAACACAAAAUGCAAUCAAAUAGCAGUCUGUACUCUGCAGGCAUAUGAUAAAUACUGUCCCUGUCCUGAGGAUUUUAUAGCUAAUGUGCUCUCUUUCGUACAGCACUGAACACGAAGAAUGUAUUUGCAAUGGUCUUUCUACAACAGAGAGUGUUUUUUAACUUGAAGAUAACUGUUUCUGUGAAGAAAAAAAAAUUGUAUUCUAUAAUAUCCACAGUGCUUUUAUUGGCACAGAUAAUAUAGUCCUUCAGAGGAAACACAGAAACUUCUGUUUUAUUUUCUUUUUUUAUAUCUCUUUUUGUCCUCUUGUAUCUCAGUGCAGUUGUCAUUAUAGGCUAUGACCACAUAGGCACCAAGUAAGAAACUAGUUUAUCCCUUCAAUUGUCAAAUUAUUUUACACUGUUCAUCAUUAAAAUAUAUGAAUGUAACACUUCAAUGUUAAAAACAAAUACUCCAGGUGUGCUUCUGCAUGUACACUUCUUUAGAUACUUAAGUUCAGGUUCACACAGGGGAAAACAUAUUCUGACCUUGGAGUGGAUGCCCAGACCAGAGAUGGCUUGAUCAGUCCAUUUCUGAAGAAGGAAGUUUAGUGCCAUUCAACAUUUAAAACAUAGAUAUAUCGCACUGUUCUAUACACUGUUCAUCUUUAAAGAGUUUUUUAGUGCUUAAGAAUAACUGAGAUUCAAAGGUCAUCAUCAGUUACUGCAUUUAUCACCUUAUUUUAUUCUAUUAAGACAUAAUUGGAGAGGCAGGGCUCUUUGAGGUAGAAGGCUAAGUAAUGGACUUACUCUUAUCUUGCAAAAGGUUGGUUUGCUGACUUCAAUGCUUUCCUAAGUAAGAUAAAAUUCAUUUAUCUGGCUUUCCAAGCUAUGAAAAGAGAAAGGCAUUCCUAUUGUAACAUUUUCUGCACAGCUUCAUGGAGCAAGAAAGAAAAAUAAGAUUUUGUUCAUGUGUUACAAGCAAACUUCCUGGAAGGAAAGUUUCAAAUAUCAGUCCAUGUUCCUAGGACCACUUACAUAAUCUGAAUAAAUGUGUAGGCUAAAAUAUACAAUCAGUAUGCAAGGCUUUAUUGGCAAAAUAGGUUACUUACUGUGUUACAAAUUCAUACUGCAUCUCAAGAUCCCUUACUGAAUUAAACUUGAAAUCUCUGUUCAGCUGUUUUGGUAAAGUUUCUAAUGCAUGAUUUCUGUGAAUCUGGAAAAGUUAUUUAAUUGUUUACUUCACUAUCUCCAGUUAUAUCUGAUGCAAAAGAAGUUACCCAUACAGAUUUUACUGGAUCACAGAAAAAUGUUGUGUUUGGGCAGCUUUAUAAUGUUUGAAUUAAAUAAAAAUAAAAA
rnacentral:lncRNA from 1 species